CUUAGUGGUUAAAAGUUAGGACAAGGACAAGGAAGAGCUCUUGCUUUCAAGCAAUGUUCAACCUAAACAAAGAAGAUAAACAUACUUUACAGCCUAGAAUUUAAAAUUUUAUGCAUGAAAUACUAAAAACAAGUUGUUACAGUAAUUUAGAUGAAGGGGGAAAUGAGGUGAUCAGAGAUGAUUUGGAAUUAAUAGGACUCUGUUGGGACUAUUUGGGCGAGUAAAGUUCUGGAAACAGAAAUUAAAUCAACCUGAUAGGAGCCAGCAAUUUGAGUCAGGGCAGAGUAGAAGAAUCCCCAAUAAGGAAAGAACCCUAGAGGGCUUACGAGCUAAAAAUAUCCAAAAUUUCUGAUUUCAAAUAUUUUCUAAAGUGCAAAAAUUACUUGCAAAAAAGACAUGGCUGAGUCAGUUUUUUAUAAUGUUUAAAGAACAGGCAAGGCAUUUAUGCCUGAAAAUAGUCAAGUUUCCUGGAUUUACGUGAAAAAAAUGAAAAGGCUACGGUUAUUUCUAACGACAGGCAAGUGAGACUGAAAUCAGUUCCAGGCAGGAGACAACAAUUAAUGAUUAAAUGUAUGAUCUAUAAAUACUCAGGAAAAGAUGUAAGAUCACUAGGAGCCAACAUGGGUUCACCUGGAAUAAAUUAUUACAGACUGAAGCAGCUGGAAAAUGUCACAGACAAAUCAUAUCUGGAUUUCAGUGAGGUGCCCCCCCCAACAAAUGCUUUUAGUUAAUACUUCAGAUAGAAAUAUUAACAUGCCUAACAAGUUAACUGGCAACAUAGACCUGGAAGGAAUAACUAAUGUAUUUGUGGAUUAAUUGAAAGUUCAACAAGAUCAACAGGAUAGAACGAUGAAAUUCAUCUAAAAAAUGAGAAGGACUGAAUUCAGUAACUCCAUUCCCCUCCCCGGGGGAAAAAAAAAUCCAAUUCAUAAAUAAACGAUUGGAAAGAAGGAAUUUGAUUUCAAGUGAGCAGGAGAAGAAAGCAUGUGAAUUGACAUUAAGCUUGAUGGGAGAAAACGGUAUGAUGCAUUCUCGGAAAAGCCCCAUGUCAUGUGAUACCACAUGGACCACACCACUACAUCCAAGCGAGGGUGAGCCUGUACAAGGAGCUGACAUGAGCAUCUCCUCCCAAAAGAGGGAAAACCCAGGAAGGGACCAGGCUGGGAGAACUACUACCCUCCACCCUUCAUCUCCAGCUGCUUUAUCUUCUCCUAAGGUUCCAUGUGGUUGUGUGCUGAGCAUGAAUCAUUCAUUGAACUAGAUUUUCCAUAAACCACUAUGUGCGAUUCCAGAGUUUUUCUCCAUUUUUGAGAUUUUACUAUUUGAACUUUCCAAAAUGGCUAGUCUAAAAUAGAGCUCAACCGAA
ensembl:lncRNA